GACGAACGCUGGCGGCGUGCCUAAUACAUGCAAGUAGAACGCUGAAGGAGGAGCUUGCUUCUCUGGAUGAGUUGCGAACGGGUGAGUAACGCGUAGGUAACCUGCCUGGUAGCGGGGGAUAACUAUUGGAAACGAUAGCUAAUACCGCAUAAGAGUAGAUGUUGCAUGACAUUUGCUUAAAAGGUGCAAUUGCAUCACUACCAGAUGGACCUGCGUUGUAUUAGCUAGUUGGUGAGGUAACGGCUCACCAAGGCAACGAUACAUAGCCGACCUGAGAGGGUGAUCGGCCACACUGGGACUGAGACACGGCCCAGACUCCUACGGGAGGCAGCAGUAGGGAAUCUUCGGCAAUGGACGGAAGUCUGACCGAGCAACGCCGCGUGAGUGAAGAAGGUUUCGGAUCGUAAAGCUCUGUUGUAAAGAGAAAGAAACGAAGUGUGAAG
rnacentral:rRNA from 1 species